UGAUUUUAUUCCUUUAACAGAAAAGAUUGGGCAAUAUGACUCAAGACUGCUGUAUCAUCUGUGUUGGAACUUUACCCUAACUCUGAAAGAGCAAGGAUAAUUCAGUCAGUUGAACAUUGUACAUUGUGCAACGACAAAUGUAGAAUUUGUCAUUCCCUGAUUUGACUAACCUUAACUCAAGCAAGUGGUACUGGGCAAUUACCAUCUUUCAAAACAAGAAAUUUUUGAAUUUUUGAAAGAGGAAAACAGAUCCUGUGAAUUUCUGUCUACUUACAUUGACAUCUCGUAGCACGUUUUUCCAACGGGACAAAAUAAGGAUGAGUAGACUUGUGUGUGAAACAUCUUAUGGCAAUAUGUAGCAAUACCGAAGUACAUGUAUAGUCAUGUGUUAAAUUUGUUGCUUCUUCCAUUGAGUGACUUUAUAUACAUUGCUAGAUGGUCUUCUGCACUCAUUCGAACACAACCCUACAACAUGUUGCAGACAACAAUAAGUACAAUAUAUUCUCGUGAUUUUCAAUGAAGUCAACCUUUGAAACAGACUUUGUGGUGGAUCUGUGACAGAAGCGACACCAAAAUGCAGACUUUUGAUUGCAUCGUCCCGCGAGGGUCGCCCAAGCUUACUAAAAUGGAAGCACUGGGUGGGACUAAGGCGCAUCGCCACAGCAUCUUUAAGAUGCAGUCAAGCCGAACAGACAUAGCGUCGACAGAUGCGGACAUCUAUGAGGACAAUAACUUGAAAUCCCAAAGGCAUACUAUGUUUAACAAGUACAAACUGAAGCCACGCUCCCAGUCCAUGGGUGCGGCGGCACUCCAGAGCUCUGGGAUCGGUCAGUUUGCAGCUAUGGUGCGACAGCGGGAAGCGGACAGUGAUUCCGAAAUGGACACAGGUCUGCGAAGUUUCCCAAACAGGCCUGACAGUUUUAAGAAGGCAAUAUCUAAAUCGAAUGCAUACGCCAACCAGAUACAUGGAUUUCCUACCCACCAUCUCCCUGCGCAUUCCAUGGCCGAGAAGGAGAUCAGGACGACCGUUGAUUGGAGCGAGAAUGCAAUCAGCGGCGACCAUGUUUGGGGUGAAACCAACGCUUCGGGUGAUUUCUGUUAUGUCGGCGAACAGGAUUGCCUGGUAAGUCAGUAUUGGAAAACGGGGCCGAGGAGAAAAUGUUCAUCCUGUAAGAUUGUCGUUCACACAGCAUGUAUGCAACAACUGGAAAGGAUAAACUUCAAGUGCAAACCGACGUUUCGGGACGCAGGGAUCAGGAAUUACCGGGAGAACCAGGUGGUACGGCAUCACUGGGUUCAUAGGAGUCGACAGGAGGGUAAAUGCAAGCAGUGUGGGAAAAGUUUUCAACAAAAGCUAUUCCAGCAGAAAGACAUCAUUGCCAUCAGCUGUUCAUGGUGUAAAGUAGCAUAUCACAAUAAAGUAUCGUGCUUCAUGAUGCAACAGAUUGAAGAACCUUGUACCCUGGGUAUUCAUGCGACUAUUAUUAUACCUCCGACGUGGAUUAUACGAUUACCAAAGCAGAGAAUACAGGGGUCUUUCAAGAGUUCACAGAGAAAAAAGAAGAAACCGUCGAUCAAGAGGAAGUCGAUAUCGAAGAAAGAAGAAGGCAAGAAUCAACGGCCGUUCAUCAUCAAACCCAUUCCAUCUCCCCUGAUGAAACCGGUUCUUGUCUUCAUCAACCCAAAGAGUGGCGGCAAUCAGGGAGGGAAGUUGAUGACAAAAUUCCAGUGGUUAAUGAACCCAAGGCAAGUCUUUGAUCUCUCACAGGGAGGGCCAAGAGAAGGCCUUGAGAUCUUCAGAAAAGUACCAAACCUUAGGAUCUUAGCCUGCGGAGGAGACGGAACCGUGGGCUGGAUCCUUUCCGAGAUUGAUAAACUGAAAUUCAAGCCAAUGCCUCCUGUAGCAGUACUACCUCUUGGUACAGGCAAUGAUCUGGCCAGGACAAUCAACUGGGGAAGGGGUUACACAGAUGAGCCCAUCUCUAAGAUUUUACAACAGGUUGAAGAAGGACCAGUGGUGCAACUAGACAGGUGGAAUCUCAUCACAGAACCUAACCCAGAUGUAGCGCUGACGAAAGAAGAGCGAGACAUCGACACCAAGCCGUUGGAUGUUUUCAACAACUACUUCAGCUUAGGGGCCGAUGCAAGGACGGCGUUAGAAUUCCACGAAUCAAGAGAGGCAAAUCCUGAGAAGUUCAACAGUAGAUUCCGAAACAAGAUGUACUAUGCUCGGGCGGGAGGAACGGACCUCCUGAAGAGGGCGUCCAAAGAUUUAACCAAGAAGAUCACACUGGAAUGUGAUGGGGUAGACUUUACUAGUAGGAUCCAGGAACUCAAACUACACUGCUUACUAUUUCUUAAUAUCCCCAAAUAUGGUGCUGGCACCACUCCAUGGGGAAAUCCAAGCUCCCUUCAGUUUGAGCAACAGAGACACGACGACGGCUUCUUAGAAAUUAUCGGAUUCACGCCAUCUCAAAUCGCUGCGCUAUAUGUUGGGGGUCACGGUGAACGGAUCUGCCAAUGCCGGGAGGCCAAGGUCAUCACCACCACGACGAUACCCAUCCAGGUGGAUGGCGAACCAUGCCGUCUGCCGCCCUCUAUUAUCCACAUCAUGCUGCGUAACCAAGCCAACAUGCUGCUAAAGCCAAAGAGAAGAGGAUCUGUGCCCAUUAAUGCAGAUGCUCCCCUAUCAAACGAUAGACUGAGGAUACAAGUUAGUAGAAUAAGUAUGCAUGACUACGAAAGACUCAACUAUGACAAAGAGAAGUUAAAGAAAGCUUCUGUGCCAUUGGGUAUCAUCGUAGUCGAUUCAGAUAGCAACCUGCAACAGAUCCGAGCUCACAUUGACAGACUUCUUGAAGUGUACAUACUUCAGGAUUCCAGUGCCAACGGCUCAGCAUCAAGCCUUUCACCUACAUGGUGUUUCCUAGAUUCAACGACAGCUGAUCGCUUCUUCAGGAUAGACCGGCUGCAGGAGCACCUUCACUAUAUAACGGACAUCUCGUCGGACGACCUCUACGUCCUAGACCCAGAGAGAACAAAACCUUCUAGUCUAUCUCCGGAGAGCAAGUCCGGGUCCAUGCCAGACCUGCUGGUCCAAGAAGGCCCAGGGAAUAGGACGCCCUCGCCGACGAUCGUCGGAGCAAACCUCAAAGUACCUCAGACAGGUCCGCUGCUUCAAUCAAGAAGUGACAGUGUGGAGGAGAUAACACAGGGCAUAGAUGUAAGCCUCCUUGCUAGUGCUAGUAACAAUGAGUUUACUGGUUAUGAUAGUGAGGACGGUGCGCACUCUAUCCCGACUCAAAGUUGCGAAGCCAUCAUGACCCACACGUCAAAUUCACCCAAACCACCAAAGAGGGAUGUUAUUGUGGGAGUUUCAGAUACUGCACAUUUAGAUCCCCUUAAUAAAAUGUUGAUUGAUGUUUCUAAAAGAGGAGACCCUAUGAAGUAUGCCGAGCUCCAUCGGAAAGGUGCCAAUUUAGAGACCACCGAUCAGCACGGGAUGACAAGCUUACACCACGCAGCACGCUUCGGUCACAAAGAGAUUGUGCAAUACCUAAUAGAACAUGGGCCCAAGAAUUUACUGGACUCACGGGAUGUGGAAAAGCAACAGACGGCACUCCACAAAGCCGCUUGGUACAUGCGGCGAACGAUAUGCGCCAUGCUGGUGGAAGCAGGGGCUGCUCUCACGAUCACAGACUAUCAAGGCAAUACGCCUCGUAUCCAAGCGCUAAAGGCGGAAGAUACGGAACUAGCAAGCUAUCUUGAAAGUAAGGAAGAUUCGGCAUGGACAGAUGUUUAGCUGUCCCAAACUCAGAAUCACCAUCAUCAUUAGGAUUGACUAGAAAUUAAUUCACUGUUGUAUAGGCCAAAUGUACUUUAAAUAUGACAUUCUCGUACUAUCGCUUUUAAAUGAAAAAAUGAAUUUUCGCAGGCACCUCCUCUCAUGCUCUCUCUAUCUUUCUGCUAUUUGUCAUUUUAUUAUUUUGAUCUUGUAGCUCUUUUUCUCCUAGUUUCUCGUUUUUUAUCAGAGUUUUUAUCGUGACUGGUGGAAGUUGGCAGAAGCUAAAGCAGGGAAUAUUGAAAAGGUCAUGAGCAACAUCAGCGAUUAAAAGAAAACCAUGAGACUGCUGUGUGACUUACAUUUGAAAGCACUGGAUUGAGAUAAGAGUUGCAGCUAAAGAGGAGUCUUGUGUUUAACACUCAAGUAUUUAUUUUGACACCAGGCCUCCAGGACUACAGCAUCAAACACCUUCUCAGGCAUGAUUAACACCUGCCUCUGAUGAUUAACAAAAUGUGAGUUGAAAUGUGACACCUUAAAGCUUGGUGCUAUCAGGCUUGGUGUUUCAAUGUGAACUCUGUAUCUUGGUGUUCUUUAUUACAAGACAAGGUGUUUCACAGUGGAUGAUGUUGCAUCAGUGUUGCUAUACACCAAGUUUCAAGUUCUGACUGACACCAAGAUAGUCAGGUGAAGGAACAGAGACAUUUUGCUAUUGAUGUAAUUCAGGUGUACAAGACACAUGCUCAACACAUUUAAUGAACCUGUGUUGAUUUGUAAAAUGGGGUAAAAUUAGGAUGAGUGCUGGUUUAUUUCCACAAAGUUUCUUGAAAAAAAAAUAUUGAAAAGGUGUUCAUAUAGCUGAUGGUGAUGGAUCAUAAAUUUACCAGUGUAAGUAGCUUCUUUUCAAUAUCGCAGGUGCGAACAUUUUUUUUUUGUUUCUUUUUGGCUGGAGAGUUAUUAUGCAUCACAUAGCACAAGCAUGUUGAAAUUAGGCAUUGAUUUCAAAACAGCUAAAAUUUAUUUUAUAUGUCAUGAAGACACAAUAUAUUGUAGACAGAAAAGCUACUGCAUUGUGAUUUGUUAUAAGUUGAGAAUAAGCAAUUAUAUUUCCUACUUUCUAAUAUAUGCAGUUUGCAGUUGAUAUACUCGGUCCCAAUGAAUAAUAAAUAAAGUGAUGAUUUGAAUGCAAGCUCCUUAUACAGCAUGUCCCACAAAAAAGUUAAUUGCUCUCUAGAUGGGUAUAAUAUCAAAAUUACAGCAUCAUAUUUAUAUCUUUACAACUGUUCACUACAAUUCAUUUCCUACAAAUGGAUGAAAUUUUAUGAUUUGAAUGAAAGCUCCUUAUACAGCGUGUCCCACAAAAAAGUUAAUUGCACUCUAGAUGGGUAUAAUAUCAAAAUUACAGCCUCAUAUUUAUAUCUUUACACCUGUUAACUACAAUUCAUUUCCUACAAAUGGAUGAAAUUUUAUGAUUUGAAUGUAAGCUCCUUAUACAGCAUGUCCCACAAAAAAGUUAAUUGCACUCUAGAUGGGUAUAAUAUCAAAAUUACAGCCUCAUAUUCAUAUCUUUACACCUGUUAACUACAAUUCAUUUCCUACAAAUGGAUGAAAUUUUAUGAUUUGAAUGAAAGCUCCUUAUACAGCGUGUCCCACAAAAAAGUUAAUUGCACU